rnacentral:rRNA from 1 species
GUGCAGCAGUCGCGAAAACUCUGCAAUACGCGAAAGCGUGACAGGGCUACCCCGAGUGUCGUCCGCUGAGGAUGGCUUUUCUACGGUGUAGGGAGGCGGAGGAAUAAGGAGAGGGCAAGUCUGGUGUCAGCCGCCGCGGUAAUACCAGCUCUCCGAGUGGUAGGGACGAUUAUUGGGCCUAAAGCGUCCGUAGCCGGCCCAGCAAGUUUCCCGUUAAAUCCAACGAUUCAAUCGUUGGACUGCGGGAAAUACUGUUGGGCUAGGAGGCGAGAGAGGCCAACGGUAUUCCCGGAGUAGGGGUGAAAUCCCAUAAUCCCGGGAGGACCACCAGUGGCGAAGGCUGUUGGCUAGAACGCGCUCGACGGUGAGGGACGAAAGCUGGGGGAGCGAACCGGAUUAGAUACCCGGGUAGUCC